GGUGGUUAUAAAUCAUGUCAACUUCUAUGGUUUGCUAUACUGGUUUAUUUAGAUUAUUAGUUGCCUGGUGUGGUGCCAGAUCCGCGAAAAUGGUGGAGGCUCUUUAUAUAAACAAGGCCUCACUAUAACUUGAAUUUGCGAAGUAUUGCUAUCAAUUGGCAACUGGUGCCUAUUAAUCUAGCUGUUUUCUCAACAUCAAACAGUCGAGGAACCAUUGUUGAUUCUGGAACAACUUUGGCAUACCUAACUGAAGAAACGUUUGAUCCAUUUGUCGAUGCUGUAUUUGGGCUAAAGUCAAAAAGCAGAAGUCUAGUGAUACUGUAACAGCAGCUGAAUCAACCUAUGAUUUG